rnacentral:rRNA from 1 species
AACGAACGCUGGCGGCAGGCCUAACACAUGCAAGUCGAACGCUCGUAGCAAUACGGGAGUGGCAGACGGGUGCGUAACGCGUGGGAACAUACCCUUUGGUUCGGAAUAACUCAGGGAACUUGAGCUAAUACCGGAUACGCCCGAGAGGGGAAAGAUUUAUUGCCGAAGGAUUGGCCCGCGUCUGAUUAGCUAGUUGGUGAGGUAACGGCUCACCAAGGCGACGAUCAGUAGCUGGUCUGAGAGGAUGAUCAGCCACACUGGGACUGAGACACGGCCCAGACUCCUACGGGAGGCAGCAGUGGGGAAUAUUGGACAAUGGGCGCAAGCCUGAUCCAGCCAUGCCGCGUGAGUGAUGACGGCCUUAGGGUUGUAAAGCUCUUUUACCCGGGAAGAUAAUGACGGUACCGGGAGAAUAAGCCCCGGCUAACUCGUGCCAGCAGCCGCGGUAAU